AGCAGCGUGGCUCAGGGGCAAGAGCCCGGGCUUGGGAGUCAGAGGUCACGGGUUCGAAUCCCGGCUCUGCCA
rfam:Ornithorhynchus anatinus chromosome 4, whole genome shotgun sequence.